GCCCUGCUAGCUCAACUGGUAGAGCAUCCGACUCUUAAUCGGCAGGUUCGGGGUUCGAGUCCCUGGCGGGGCA
rnacentral:tRNA from 2 species